AGCGUAGACGGCAGGGCAAGUCUGAUGUGAAAGCCCGGGGCUCAACCCCGGGACUGCAUUGGAAACUGUUCGGCUAGAGUGCAGGAGAGGUAAGUGGAAUUCCUAGUGUAGCGGUGAAGUGCGUAGAUAUUAGGAGGAACACCAGUGGCGAAGGCGGCUUACUGGACUGUAACUGACGUUGAGGCUCGAAAGCGUGGGGAGCAAACA
rnacentral:rRNA from 1 species